rnacentral:rRNA from 1 species
UACGGAGGGUGCGAGCGUUGUUCGGAAUUACUGGGCGUAAAGCGCGCGCAGGCGGCUAUCCAAGUCAGUGGUGAAAGCCCGGAGCUCAACUCCGGAACUGCCAUUGAAACUGUUUAGCUUGAGGACGAGAGAGGUGAGUGGAAUUCCCAGUGUAGAGGUGAAAUUCGUAGAUAUCGGGAGGAACACCGGUGGCGAAGGCGGUUCUCUGGGCCUUACCUGACGCUGAGGAGCGAAGGCGUGGGGAGCGAACAGG